rnacentral:rRNA from 1 species
UAGGGAAUCUUCCGCAAUGGACGAAAGUCUGACGGAGCAACGCCGCGUGAGCGAAGAAGGCCUUCGGGUCGUAAAGCUCUGUUGUUAGGGAAGAACAAGUAUCGGAGUAACUGACGGUACCUUGACGGUACCUAACCAGAAAGCCACGGCUAACUACGUGCCAGCAGCCGCGGUAAU